rnacentral:rRNA from 1 species
UCGGUGACAGGUGGUGCGAUGGUUGUCGUCAGCUCGUGUCGUGAGAUGUUGGUUAAGUCCCGCAACGAGCGCAACCCCUAUUGUUAGUUGCCAUCAUUCAGUUGGGCACUCUAGCGAGACUGCCGGUAAUAAACCGGAGGAAGGUGGGGAUGACGUCAAAUCAUCAUGCCCCUUAUGACCUGGGCUACACACGUGCUACAAUGGUUGGUACAACGAGUUGCGAGUCGGUGACGGCGAGCUAAUCUCUUAAAGCCAAUCUCAGUUCGGAUUGUAGGCUGCAACUCGCCUACAUGAAGUCGGAAUCGCUAGUAAUCGCGGAUCAGCACGCCGCGGUGAAUACGUUCCCGGGCCUU